CUCGAACUUCCGCGCAGGCCUUACAGUCGAGAUUCCCUGUGCAGCGCAUGAAAGAUGGCGACAGGUUAGAAACUGCAUUUCAGAGAUUCUGUGUUUGUCUCCUCCUCUGCCCUCAACCCCGCCCACACCUCCGUUGAGGAAGCACCCUCGAGCGCAACAAGCAAAGAGAGGAAGCCUGGGAAUAAUGGCUAAUUCCUGGGAGAGAAGAGGAGAUUACAGGGAUGAGUCCCGCACACUGGAGCCCACUCCACCCACCCGUUACAUAAGCGUGGAUGAGAAGCGGCUGAUCCACACUGUGUGGGUGGGUGUACGUGUCUGUGCGGAUGCGAAUCUCCCCCCAGAUUCGCCGAGAGGUUGCCUUGGAAACACAAUUGGUAAAUCUGUAUGCAGGCAGCUGCUGCAUACCAGGUAGGGGAAAAUAACAGAAGAACGGAAAUAAGCAGCUAAAGAAAAUCAGAAAAGGCUAAAUUAGUGUAAUUAGAUUUAGGUCCAUGGUGUAUAUUUGAGCAAAGUGUUUUCUUUAUGAGACAGAGACACAGCUGCAGCAAAUUUCUCCACACAACCUGAUCAAAGUCCUCUGAAAUGCUUUAUCUGGUUUUGAGUGUGACCUGCAUUGAGCACAUGAGGACUAAACACCCUCCUAAUUUCAUAACCCGCUAAUGUUUCAGAUUUCUCAUGCUUUUCUCUUUAGACUGAACUCUCACUGGAGUCAAAGCCUGUGGGAGGUAGUUUAUUAUUACAUAAUUAUAACAUGUAUUUCUCUGCAGAGCCUGACUGUACUUAUUUCCAAAAAACGCUAAACCAAGCAUUGUGUCUUUUACCCUAUAGGUGUGUAUCUUUUUAAACUUUAAUAUGAAUAUAUAUUUAUUUUAAACAAUGGAUUUUCUAUGAACACAAAAAAGUAAGUUCUGUGUUAUGCAGUGUAUUGAACAGUGGACUGAGGUGGACUAUU